ensembl:lncRNA
GUUCAGGAAACUACAUACUGAAUCACUGCUGUGAUCAUUUCUCCCCUUUUUCAGUCAGUGAGACUCACAGGAUCCAGCAGCAGAACUUCAGAGAACAUGUUGGUCCUGAAGCUGAUCUGAUGGCACUGACUGCAUGAUGCUCAAGUUUUUAUAUCAGUUUGAGGGAGUUCACUUUGCAUGAAAAGAAGUCUGACGGGCUGUAAAAGGAUUAUCACCUGUCUUUUUCUGGUUUUAUUUUUAUAUUAAGGUCUCUGGCUGGGCGGAGCCUGUAAUCUCCUGACCUGGUACACCUGGCGAGUGUACCUGGCUAUAUAAGCCAACCUGCUGAGCCAGAGCUCCUUCUCUCUGCUCUGCUCUCUCCAUUCCACCUCACAAUGAGCCACCCAUGCUGUCCUUUGUUGUGUUUUGUUCUUUUUUACACUGACAACAUGCACCCUCACACACUACUGAUGCUACAACCGCACCUCAUUAUCAUGUUUUUCUUAAUAAAUAAUCUUUUGUUGCAGCCUAAGGGCCAGUUGUAACAAACUGGACUCUCGUCCGUUGUGAGGUAUGGCCUGCUGUUUGGUAUGCUUCUUUCUCUGGGGGUAAGUUUUGUAAGAAACCUAAUUUGAAUUGAGCACUUUGUGAGCACAGCAGCAUGGACUGUUGCAGUUUGUGGACUGUGGACAGGUAAAUUCAGCAUAAUGAUACAUGUGAGUAUCUCUUUUGUCUCAGCUUUUGGGAAACCUUAGAAAGUUAUUUGAUUGUGCUCUUGGAAUUGUGCUUUGAGGUGUUUGUGUUUCAGUGCAGGUUUUCUUGUUGGCGGCUGAGGAGACUGUUUGAGUGUCCUUUGAUAGUUUUGGAUCACAGGCAUAAAGAGGUAAGUGUUGAGUCAGGUGUGUAUAAUUGUAGAAGAGGUUCCUUUGCUAGGUUUAGCAGCGUUUCUCCUUUGGGUUUUUCUGAGGGGGUGACUUGUAGUGUUGAGCUACGGUGGUUGGAGCAUCCCUUUUCCCUUCCCUAAAGCUGCUCAGGAGCACAUCGGUGGUUAUGGGAGGGUUGUCAGUUUUCUGGUCGCCUUUCUCAAGCCAGCAGGCUGUUGGUGCUUAAAUACCCAUCGCCAGGCCUCAUGAAGACUAGGGUGAGUUAAUUAGCAGUUUGAUAGAAGGGAACUUUCCUUUGUAGUGGCUGUUUAG